CGGGACGGGGUGGAGUAAUGUCUGGGAAACUGCCUGAUGGAGGGGGGUAACUACUGGAAACGGUAGCUAAUACCGCAUAACGUCGCAAGACCAAAGAGGGGGACCUUCGGGCCUCUUGCCAUCGGAUGUGCCCAGAUGGGAUUAGCUAGUAGGUGGGGUAACGGCUCACCUAGGCGACGAUCCCUAGCUGGUCUGAGAGGAUGGCCAGCCACACUGGAACUGAGACACGGUCCAG
rnacentral:rRNA from 1 species